rnacentral:rRNA from 1 species
AUAGAUACCCUGGUAGUCCACGCCCUAAACCAAUGCGAACUGGAUGUUGGGUACAUUACGGUACUCAGUGUCGAAGCUAACGCGUUAAGUUCGCCGCCUGGGGAGUACGGUCGCAAGACUGAAACUCAAAGGAAUUGACGGGGGCCCGCACAAGCGGUGGAGUAUGUGGUUUAAUUCGAUGCAACGCGAAGAACCUUACCUGGCCUUGACAUCUGUCGAAUCCUGCAGAGAUGCGGGAGUGCCGCAAGGAACGACAAGACAGGUGCUGCAUGGCUGUCGUCAGCUCGUGUCGUGAGAUGUUGGGUUAAGUCCCGCAACGAGCGCAACCCUUGUCCCUAGUUGCCAGCACGUAAUGGUGGGAACUCUAGGGAGACUGCCGGUGACAAACCGGAGGAAGGUGGGGAUGACGUCAAGUCCUCAUGGCCCCUUACGGCCAGGGCUACACACGUACUACAAUGGUCGGUACAGAGGGUUGCGAAGCCGCGAGGUGAAGCCAAUCCCAGAAAACCGAUCCCAGUCCGGAUCGGAGUCUGCAACCCGA